UCCCUGGACGACUAGUGGUUAGGCCACAGCGCUCCCACCGACGCGGCCUGGGUUUGAUUCCCAGCCAGAGAA